GGGGCCUGUUGCACAAAAGUAGAAUUAAGACAUCCGGGAUAAAUGACUCAGCUGAGCUCAAUGAAGCCAAAACAUGUGCAUCCAGGCUUAAUUGGUUGCACAAAGACCAAGCCAGGAUGAGCAGACACGGAUUCAUUAAGCCAGGUGAAACCAAUCCUGGAUAGGUGCGCGCUCACGGCUCACUCAAAUAGACCCCGCCACAGAUCACAGAAUAACUGAUUUACCAUGGCAACUAGAGCCGCGUACUUUUCCCCGUCGGAAGCACAAAUCCUCAUGGAGGCAUACGAGGAGGUAAAAGAUAUAAUUAAGAAGAAAGGCAACACCGCCACAGUGAUAAAGCAAAGAGAAAAAGCGUGGCAAAGUAUUGCAGACCGCCUGAAUGCGUAAGUAGUGCACAAUUACACACUCACCGCUCCGCUGAAACAUCACAAUUACAAUUCAAAUAUUUAAUUCACAUCUCCAAAAAUGCAGUUGUACUGUAAUUAUGAAACGGUUAAAUUUUUAAUUGAAAUGCACUGCAGAUAUGAGUGAAAUUGUGUAAAGUAACUCCAUCACACUGUAUAAAGCUAUGAUACAUUUUUUGAUAUUUUUACUGAAAACAAGACAAAAAUACCAAGUAAUUUUUUGCAGUGUGACUCCAUUAAAUGUGUGUGUGUGUGUGUGUGUGUGUGUGUGUGUGUGUGUGUGUGUGUGUGUGUGUGUGUGUGUAGAUUAAACAUGAACGGGCCAAAACGGACAUGGCAGCAGGUCAAAAUCAAAUACAAGAACAUUCUGCAGAAUGCAGUGAAAAAGAAUACCCACAGACAAGGCACGGGUGGUGGGUCACCAAAGGCUGACCUUACCCCAGCAGAGGACAUGGCCUUGGAGCUAAAUAAAGGCAGGCCCGUCUUAAGAGGGGAUCCCUGGGGGGAAAGAGACGAGCAUAGCUUCCUCCCAAGAUGCCACCCGCUUCAUUCAAGUGCCUGGCAGCACUGUGUUCCUGUUAGAGCCACCAGCACAAGCACCAGACGAUGCUGAUCCAGGUGAAGGCCCCAGUGCAGCAGCAACAGCACAUGAUGGAGACGAUGAUGAGGAGGAGACCAUCUCUCUGGAUUCCAGAAGGCAUGAGGACCCAGAUGCUAUACAGUGGGAAAACCAGCCUGGCAACAUAGUGCGUAUUAAUAAAAGGACACCACAUCCUGCCAAAUUCCAGCUGCGCUAAUUGUAUUGUGUUCACAGAGCUCACAAGCUAUCAGAAAGUUGUAUGGCAACCACCUCCGGCGCCAAAUAGAACUGGCAGACAUAGACAUUCAGUACAAGAAGAAAAAGAUGGAAAAUCUUGCACUGGAGUCCGAAAUAAAAAAGAGGACAAUUAGGAAACUGGACCUUGAAAUAAAAAAACUUGAGAGGGAGCUCCAAGAAGAUGACACAGCUCAAAAUAAAAAUUAGGUAUAUUCUCGUAAAGUCAAGUGAGCCAUGAGAUAUGAGCUCUUAUUGUGAGCACACAGGACGGUGGCAUAUUUCUAAGUUUUUUUUUAUUUUCCCAGCAAUCAGUACAACCAAGUCAUCGUUAUAAGGCAUCGCCCUCUUUUGCCCACCCCCCCAGCACCAGGUGUGGCCACUAGCCUAUAUGAAGGCCCAAAAUUGUGUGUUCCUUUCUGCUCUGACAAUGGCAUGCCCAUUCGUGCGAGAUGUGGUGGAUGAAGAAGCACUUGUGCUGAGGAGAGCCUUCAGGCGAGAAAGGGUCUUCAGGGACCGGUUGGACCCACUGGCCUUCCCUGAUGACCAUCUAUAUGAAAGAUACAGGUUUUCUGCAGAUGGCAUCAGGUAUCUAUGCAGACUACUGGGUCCCAGGAUUAAGCACCGCACUGCACGGAGCCAUGCACUGAGUGUGGAGCAAAUGGUUUGUGUGGCCUUGCGCUUUUUGCUAGUGGAGCCUUCCUGUACUCAGUGGGGGAUGCAGAACAGCUGAACAAGGCCACAAUUUGCCGCACAAUAAGGAGUGUGUGUCUGGCUAUCAAAGCAUUAGCAGAUGUCUUCAUCUCCUUCCCUGGCCACAGAAGACUCUGUGACAUCAAAGAGGAGUUCUAUAGGAUUGCAGGUUUCCCCAAUGUCAUUGGUGCAGUGGACUGCACACACAUAAGGAUAAAAGCCCCCUCAGGUGCCCAUGAGGCCGAUUUUGUGAAUAGGAAAUCCUUUCACAGCAUUAAUGUUCAGAUGGUCUGCAAUGCUGACUGUGUGAUCAGCAAUGUUGUGGCAAAAUGGCCUGGCUCAGUCCAUGACUCCAGAAUCUUUCGGGCCUCUGAAAUCUAUCAGUGCCUAUCACAAGGUGAAUUCUCUGGUGUGUUGCUGGGAGACAGGGGUAUGGCUGCCAGCCUUUUCUCCUGACACCUUUCACAGACCCCCAGGAAGCACAGCAGGCCUACAACCAUGCCCAUGCCAGGACCAGGGCCAGAGUUGAAAUGACCUUUGGCCUCCUGAAGGCACGCUUUCACUGCCUUCACAAAUUAAGGGUCAGCCCUGUUAGGGCAUGUGAUAUUACUGUGGCUUGUGCUGUCCUCCACAAUGUGGCCUGCCUGAGGAAGGAGAGGGCCCCCAGAGUGCCACCAGCCAUGGACUGGGACAAUCCGGCAAUCUUCCCUGAUGACGACAGUGGUCGGCUGCUGAGGGACCAAUAUGUGUUGAAUUAUUUUAGUUAGUAUGUGUGCUUUCAAUUUUGGUUAAAUAUGUCCUGCGGUGGCAGAGGAAUUUGGGUUUUUUUUUGGGUUCGUUUUUUGACCAAUUUGGCCUCUUAUGAUGUUUGUGCGGUAUACUGUGUGUAAUACAAGGCUGCAGGGAGGCUACUGCAUCCAUUCAUUUGUCUGUUCAGUUGAUGUGUAUGGAUUUGUCCUGCAUUUAUUUUAGUGUGCAGACAUGCAGGGUGUGUUAUAUACAGACCUUUGAAUGUGUAUGUAUCAUUUUGUAUAAUAUGCUUGGAUUCUGUGCUUUCCAUCUUGUAGAGUCACUGUGACUUCAGUUUCGAAAGGAGCUGAUGGUUUACCUGCUUUGUUUUGUCCUUAUUCAAUAAAGGAACAUAAUGUUACACAUUGUGUUUUUAUAUUCAUAUGGAAUGUGUAUUUGUUUAUAUGACAGAGUACUAGGGCCACACUGAAGAAAAAGGAUAAAGUCAUAAAUUUAUGAGGCUGGUUCUUUCUGCAGAAAAGCUACAUAUUGUUUUUACAGUUUUGAUACUUAUGACAAUGUGAUACUUAAUAUUCUGGCACAUCAGCAUGUCUUUGUUUAUGAAACCAUACUGAAGUACAAUUUCACGAAAUGCCCCACAUCUGUCAUUUUAACAACUGUCCUCCUUUAAAACAACUGGUUACAAUAUUAUG